rnacentral:rRNA from 1 species
UACGUAGGGGGCAAGCGUUGUCCGGAAUCAUUGGGCGUAAAGAGCGUGUAGGCGGCCAGAUAAGUCCGCUGUGAAAUCUCGAGGCUCAACUUCGAGCUGUCGGUGGAAACUGUCUGGCUAGAGUCCGGAAGAGGAGAAUGGAGUUCCUGGUGUAGCGGUGAAAUGCGCAGAUAUCAGGAAGAACACCCGUGGCGAAGGCGGCUCUCUGGGACGGUACUGACGCUGAGACGCGAAAGCGUGGGGAGCGAACAGG